rnacentral:ncRNA from 1 species
CAACAUGACAGCAGGCGAGACCACCCGCUGGAUUUAAGCAUAUUAUUAAGCGGAGGAAAAGAAACUAACCAGGAUUUCCCUAAUAGUGGCGAACGAACAAGAAUAAGCCCAGCACCGAAUUCCGCGGUUCCGCCGCAGGGAAAUGUGGUGUUCGGAAGUGUCCGCUUAUCCCGAGGUGCCGCGUCGCGUCCAAGUCCAUCUUGAAUGGGGCCACUUAACCGCAGAGGGUGCCAGGCCCGUAGCGACCGGUGCGCGUCUCGGGAGGAUCUCUCCUCAGAGUCGGGUUGCUUGAGAGUGCAGCUCUAAGUGGGUGGUAAACUCCAUCUAAGGCUAAAUACGACCACGAGAAUGAUAGCGAACAAGUACCGUGAGGAAAAGUUGAAAAAAACUUGAAGAGAGAAUUCAAAAGUACGUGAAACCGUUCAGGGGUAAACCUGAGAAACCCAAAAAAUCGAACCGGGAAAUUCAUAAUCAGCGACUUUGGUUUCGCGUCGGUGAGCGAUGCCACGCGUUGCACCCGCGGCUCGCGCGCCGGCACGCCGCCGUGCGUCCGAUGUCCGGCCGUCGUCGCCGUGCACUUCUCCCCUAGUAGUACGUCGCGACCCGCUGGGUGUCGGUCUACGGCCCGGGUACGGUGGCUGACGCGAGGCCGGUAAAAGGGCCAGCGUCAAACCCCCGGUCGCCCGGCCGAAUGCCCGACGGUACACGCAAAUAUAAACC